GAUGAACGCUGGCGGCGUGCCUAAUACAUGCAAGUCGAGCGAACGGACGAGAAGCUUGCUUCUCUGAUGUUAGCGGCGGACGGGUGAGUAACACGUGGAUAACCUACCUAUAGGACUGGGAUAACUUCGGGAAACCGGAGCUAAUACCGGAUGAUAUUUUGAACCGCAUGGUUCAAAAGUGAAAGACGGUCUUGCUGUCACUUAUAGAUGGAUCCGCGCUGCAUUAGCUAGUUGGUAAGGUAACGGCUUACCAAGGCAACGAUGCAUAGCCGACCUGAGAGGGUGAUCGGCCACACUGGAACUGAGACACGGUCCAGACUCCUACGGGAGGCAGCAGUAGGGAAUCUUCCGCAAUGGGCGAAAGCCUGACGGAGCAACGCCGCGUGAGUGAUGAAGGUCUUCGGAUCGUAAAACUCUGCUAUUAGGGAAGAACAUAUGUGUAAGUAACUGUGCACAUCUUGACGGUACCUAAUCAGAAAGCCACGGCUAACUACGUG
rnacentral:rRNA from 1 species